CCCUUAGAUGUUCUGGGCCGCACGCGCGCUACAAUGGUCUUCGCAAACGGAUGCAUUCUCGAAGGAGAAUGCCAAUCUUGGAAUCUAUGCCUUGGUCGGGACAGUUGCUUGCAAUUUUUCGACUCGAACCAGGAAUUCCUUGUAAUCGUGAUUCAUCACAUCACGAUGAAUACGUCCCUGCCCUUUGUACACACCGCCCGUCGCUCCUACCGAUCGAAGAGUUAGGUGAAUUGUUUUGAUCGAUAAGAUUUGACUAUGGUCAACUCUCGUUGUGAAAUUCUGUGAAUCUGACUGUCUAGAGGAAGGAAAAGUCGUAACA
rnacentral:rRNA from 1 species